rnacentral:rRNA from 1 species
AAUGAACGUUGGCGGCGUGGAUUAGGCAUGCAAGUCGAGCGAGAAAUCCCAGCUUGCUGGGAUGGAAAGCAGCGAAAGGGAGAGUAACGCGUGGAUACCUGCCCUCAGGUCUGGAAUAGCGUCAGGAAACUGGCGGUAAUGCCGGAUAAUGUCUCCGGACCAAAGGCUGCGUGUCGUCUGAGGAUGGGUCCGCGUCCUAUUAGCUAGUUGGCAGGGUAAUGGCCUACCAAGGCAACGAUGGGUACCGGGUGUGAGAGCAUGGCCCGGCUCACUGGGACUGAGACACUGCCCAGACACCUACGGGUGGCUGCAGUCGAGAAUCUUCGGCAAUGGGCGAAAGCCUGACCGAGCGACGCCGCGUGCGGGAUGAAGGCCUUCGGGUUGUAAACCGCUGUCAGUGGGGAGGAAAUGCGGAGGGUCCACUCUCCGUUUGACCGAUCUACAGAGGAAGUACGGGCUAAGUUCGUG